GGUGCUGGGGACCCGGCCUGCCCCGCCUCGCCGCGGCGGGGCGGGCGGCACAGGCGGUUUGUCCCGGCCGAGCGCUGUGCCCGCUGGUGGGGCGGGCGGGAGGGCGCUGCGCCCUGGCCAGGCCUCCCCCCUGCCCCGAGCGCCCGCGCCCUGACCGGCCGGGGGAUCUCAGCUCCCCGGGAGCGCUGAGCGCUGGGGCGCAGCGCUACUCGUUCGCAGGUGCCGGGUCACAUCCAGCCAGGGUUAGGGCAGUAUUUCCUAAAGCCGGUUCGCAAAAGAUGUGUGAUGUUUCUCAGUUGUGCUUUUGUGAUGACAAGAAAUAUCUCAUCUGGAGAUGCCCAUCUUCCCUGCCCCAAUCCAAGCUCUAAGUGGGGAGCAGCUGACUCCUUUAAGGACAUGUCAUCCAUGAUUCCAGCAUACCUGGGUAAACUAAUGAUGCUGCUUCAAGUCCAUCAGAUUCAACAAGUAGACAGAAGUAUAUUGAUUCAUUGUACAUAGGAAGGUCUGUCUAUACAACAAAAAGGACGAAAAUCUUCUCUUAAAUAACAGUUGCAUGAAGUCCAAACUCUUUCCCCUUUAUGUUCUUAUGCUUGUGGCAGCCUAAUGUAAAGUUGGUAUUGUCACAGAAAUACAAAACCAGUUGCUAUCAUUUUUAGAUGAUGAAAAUUAUUGAUGAUUUAAAUUCCAAAUAUGUGCACAUGUUUAAUAUAUAUAGAAGUAUAUAUAGAGAAUUAAUAUAUAUAGAAAUUAAAAUAUCUGUUUCUAAAUGCUGUAAUUCACCCCGCCCAUAAGUGACCAACCAUUAGAAAAAUGUAUUAAAUUGUUAAAAUCUGUAGACAGCUAUUAACCAUCCUGUAUAAGCUUUAGAGAUUAGAAAAGAUGAAUUAGUAUUUUGAAAAAUACAUAGACAUACAUCAUGCUGGAUGUGAAAAUUACUUGUAUAACAGUUCUAUGUAGAAAGAUUCAGACUACCUUUUGUGACGUAUAGCACGAUGCUUCUGCAAGAGCUGAAAUGUUUAAAGGAUUCCAGAGUAAUAGGUGAAAGUAAUCAUAGAAUGUCCUGAGUUGGAAGGACCCACAAGGAUCAUCGAGUCCAACUCCUGUCCCUGCACAGGACAACCCCACAGUUCACACCAUGUGUCUGAGGGUGGUGUCCAGUCUCCUUGAACACUGUCAGGCUUGGGGCUGUGACACCUCCCUGGGGAGCCUGUUCCAGUGCUCCAGCACCCUCUGGGUGAAGAACCUUUUCCUAAUGUCCAACCUAAACCUCCCCUGGCACAUCUUCCUGACAUUCCCUUGGGUUCUGUUGUUGGUUGCCAGUGUCAAUAUAAGAAUUCAACACCUGAGUGGGUUAUUGGAAGCACCUCCAGAAGUGGAUGUAACUCUGCUAAUCUCAUGUCUCAUGUUGGAGUGUGCACAAGGGUGGUCUGCAAAUAUGGCCAAAGGAUUUGUCCUGGUUUUGACUAGGAGAGAGUUAAUUUUCUUCCUAGCAAUUCGUAUAGUGCUGUGUUUUGGAUUUAGUAUGAGAAUAAUGUUGGUAACACACUGAUGUUUUGGUUGUUACUAAGAAGUACUUAUACUACGUCAAGGGAUUUUCAGCUUCCCAUGCUCUGCCAGCGGGGAGGUGCACAAGCAGCUGGGAGGGGACACAGCCAAGACAGCUGACCCAAGCUGCCCAAAGGGAUAUUCCAUACCAUGUGACAUCAUGCUCAGUAUAUAAACUGUGGGCAGUUGGCUGUGGAGCAGUGAUUGCUGCUCAGGGACGGGCUGGGCAUCGGUCAGCAGGUGGUGAGCAAUUGCAUUGUGAACCACUUGUUUUGUAUCUUCUUUUAUCAUUUUUAUCACUAUUAUUUUCUCUUCCUUUUCUCAAAAACUUCUUUUGCUGUGUGGAAUCCCACACGACAAGUUGCAGAAACUGCUGAAGGACAAGGUGAAUUGAGUGAAAGACAUCCAGUUGGCUUUAGGUAUUGCUGAACAGGAAAAAUGGCCAGCGCUUCAUCCUUAUACUGACUCAUAGAUGGUCUGUUGGGGUGGCUAAAGCAAUGGAAGCAGAGCAACUGCCAGUGCAGAUGUAAACCCAUCUGGGCUGCUGAAUUAUGGCAAGAUACUGCUGCUUGCAUAGAGAACUUGGUUGUAAAAGUGGGUCACAUAGAUGCCCACAUACCUGAAAGUCAGGCCGUCGAAGAACAAUAAAACAACCAACAAGUGGAUCAGGCUGCUAAGACUGAAGUGCCUCAGGUGGAUCCGGACUGGCAACGUAAGGGUGAAUUAUUUGUGUCUCUGUGGGCCUGUGACAUCUUGGGGCAUCAAGGAAGGGAUGCAACAUCUAGAUGGGCUUGCGAUUGAUGGGUGGACUUGGCCAUGGACACUACUACAGAGGUUAUCCAUGAAUGUGAGACAUGUGCUUCAAGCAAACAAGCCAAAUAGUUAAAGCCUCUCUGGUAUGGAGGAUGAUGACUGAAAUAUAUAUUUGGGGAGGCUUGGCAGAUUGAUUGUAUCACACUCCCACAGACCUGCCACUGCAAGUGCCAUGUGCUUACAAUGGUGGAAGCAACCACUGGAUGUCUGGAAACACACGCCAUACGUCAUGUUGGGCACCACAAAGGACUGCCAGGGUUUAACCUGAGCUGGCAACUAAGCUCCACACAGCUGCUCACUCACUUUCCCUCGCUGUGAUGGGGUGGACAUUCAGAGUGAUGACAUUUGUCUUCCCAAGUAACCAUUAUGCAUGAUGGAGCCCUGCUGUCCUGGAGAUGGCUGAACACCUGCUUGCCCAUGGGACAUAGUGAACGAAUCCCUUGUUUUACUUUGCUUGCGUGUGUGGCUUUUGCUUUACCUAUUAAACUGUCUUUGUCUCAA